GUGGCGUCGCUGGCGGCGUGCUUAACACAUGCAAGUCGAACGGAAAGGCCCCUUCGGGGGUACUCGAGUGGCGAACGGGUGAGUAACACGUGGGUAAUCUGCCCUGCACUUCGGGAUAAGCCUGGGAAACUGGGUCUAAUACCGGAUAGGACCUAGAGGCGCAUGCCUUGUGGUGGAAAGCUUUUGCGGUGUGGGAUGGGCCCGCGGCCUAUCAGCUUGUUGGUGGGGUGACGGCCUACCAAGGCGACGACGGGUAGCCGGCCUGAGAGGGUGUCCGGCCACACUGGGACUGAGAUACGGCCCAGACUCCUACGGGAGGCAGCAGUGGGGAAUAUUGCACAAUGGGCGCAAGCCUGAUGCAGCGACGCCGCGUGGGGGAUGACGGCCUUCGGGUUGUAAACCUCUUUCACCAUCGACGAAGGUCCGGGUUUUCUCGGAUUGACGGUAGGUGGAGAAGAAGCACCGGCCAACUACGUGCCAGCAGCCGCGGUAAUACGUAGGGUGCGAGCGUUGUCCGGAAUUACUGGGCGUAAAGAGCUCGUAGGUGGUUUGUCGCGUUGUUCGUGAAAUCUCACGGCUUAACUGUGAGCGUGCGGGCGAUACGGGCAGACUGGAGUACUGCAGGGGAGACUGGAAUUCCUGGUGUAGCGGUGGAAUGCGCAGAUAUCAGGAGGAACACCGGUGGCGAAGGCGGGUCUCUGGGCAGUAACUGACGCUGAGGAGCGAAAGCGUGGGGAGCGAACAGGAUUAGAUACCCUGGUAGUCCACGCCGUAAACGGUGGGUACUAGGUGUGGGUUUCCUUCCUUGGGAUCCGUGCCGUAGCUAACGCAUUAAGUACCCCGCCUGGGG
rnacentral:rRNA from 1 species